GGGCUAUUAGCUCAGUUAGUUAGAGCGCACCCCUGAUAAGGGUGAGGUCCCUGGCUGAAAUCCAGGAUAGCCCAC
rnacentral:tRNA from 1 species